UGCCAGCCGCCGCGGUAAUACGGAGGGUGCAAGCAUUAAUCGGAUUUAUUGGGCGUAAAGCGCGUGUAGGCGGCUCUGUAAGUCGGAUGUGAAAUCCCGUGGCUCAACCAUGGAAGUGCACCCGAAACUGCAGGGCUAGAGUAUCGGAGAGGAAGGUGGAAUGCUUGGUGUAGAGGUGAAAUUCGUAGAUAUCAAGCGGAACACCGGUGGCGAAGGCGGCCUUCUGGACGAUUACUGACGCUGAGACGCGAAAGCGUGGGUAGCAAACAGGAUUAGAUA
rnacentral:rRNA from 1 species